rnacentral:rRNA from 1 species
GACGAACGCUGGCGGCGUGCUUAACACAUGCAAGUCGAACGGAAAGGCCCUGCUUUUGUGGGGUGCUCGAGUGGCGAACGGGUGAGUAACACGUGAGUAACCUGCCCUUGACUUUGGGAUAACUUCAGGAAACUGGGGCUAAUACCGGAUAGGAGCUCCUGCUGCAUGGUGGGGGUUGGAAAGUUUCGGCGGUUGGGGAUGGACUCGCGGCUUAUCAGCUUGUUGGUGGGGUAGUGGCUUACCAAGGCUUUGACGGGUAGCCGGCCUGAGAGGGUGACCGGCCAAAUUGGGACUGAGGUACGGCCCAAACUCCUACGGGAGGCAGAAGGGGGGAAUAUUGCACAAUGGGCGGAAGCCUGAUGCAGCAACGCCGCGUGCGGGAUGACGGCCUUCGGGUUGUAAACCGCUUUCGCCUGUGACGAAGCGUGAGUGACGGUAAUGGGUAAAGAAGCACCGGCUAACUACGUG